UACACACAUAGACAAACAAAGUCUGCUUAACACAUCUAUGAAAGAGUCACAGUGAAUAUGCUGACAGAUGUUGUUGACCUUUUAAUGAUGUUGUGAGAGCUCUCUCCAGGAUGUACUUCAACUGACAGACUACAGAGCCCCUGAGAGUACAGAGGAAGAGGGCCGGUCCACGAUCAGAAUAUAUAUCAUCUACUUCACCUGUCUCUUCACUUGCCUCUGAGAAAAAUCACAUCUUUGAAUCUUAAACUCCUCUACAGCAGACAGACUCAAUGAAGUUCGCUGUGUUUCUGUGUGGACUCCUGCUGGUCUUUCUGGGCCUGCUCUUUUUUCUUCCUCAUUGGACACAACCUGUGGAAGAAGGGACUGUGACCAACACCACUGAAAAGAGCUAUCCUCAUCAGUGUGCUACAGCCAUCAAUGUCACAAAGGAGCAAUGUCUGAGUACAUCUAAGAACAACACAACUCAUCCACCGCAAAGGCUAUUGCAAAUGGAGUUCAAAGAGGAUUUUUAUUGGAUUUGGAAUCCUCACAUUAUGUAUUAAUAUUUUUUUAAAGAACCAAUUUUCAAGCUUUGCUUUAUGAAACAUUUAUUUUCAACAGUGCAUUCAUUUUCAUUCUAAUACAGAUGGAAAUAUUUAAACAGUAUUGUGUACAUAUCUUGUGAUGUCUAUUAAAUGGCUUUUGGUCCCUUGAGCUUGCAUUUAGACACAUUUACAUGUUCACAUUGCCUUAAUGCAUGUUUGUUAGAUUUCAUGGAAACCAGCAUGGUGAGUGUCACCACUAUGUGACCUGCAAAAGGUGAUUACUCAAAGAAUUAACUCAUGUAUCAAACAUAAAUAAUCCAUCAAUGAAUAAAUC